AUUAGCUACAACAUCUUGAUUAAUGGGUAUUGCAAGAGCAAAAUGAUUGAUGAAGUGAUGAAACUUUUUGAUGAAAUGCCUCAAAAAGGUUUAGUUCCUAACUCUGUUACAUAUAGUACUCUUAUAAAGGGAUUGUGGGGAGCAGGGAGACCUCGUACUGCACUAGAUUUUUUCAAGAACAUGUGCUCUCAUGGUCAGCAGCCAA
rnacentral:misc_RNA from 1 species